GACGAGGGGUCCUAGCGUUGCUCGGAAUCAUUGGGCGUGAAGCGGGUGUAGGCGGCUUCAUAAGUCAGUUGUGAAAGCCCCAAGUUCAACUUGGGAAGUGCUUCUGAUACUGUGAGGCUUGAGUAUGGGAGAGGGCAGUAGAAUUCCUGGUGUAGUGGUGAAAUACGUAGAUAUCAGGAGGAACACCAAUGGCGAAGGCAGCUCGCUGGAACGGUACUGACGCUGAGGCGCGAAAGCGUGGGGAGCGAACAGG
rnacentral:rRNA from 1 species